CCUACGGGAGCAGCAGUGGGGAAUAUUGGACAAUGGGCGAAAGCCUGAUCCAGCCAUGCCGCGUGUGUGAAGAAGGCCUUCGGGUUGUAAAGCACUUUCAGUGGGGAAGAAAGCCUUGGGGCUAAUACCCUCGAGGAAGGACAUCACCCACAGAAGAAGCACCGGCUAACUCCGUGCCAGCAGCCGCGGUAAUACGGAGGGUGCGAGCGUUAAUCGGAAUUACUGGGCGUAAAGCGCGCGUAGGCGGUCUGAUAAGCCGGUUGUGAAAGCCCCGGGCUCAACCUGGGAACGGCAUCCGGAACUGUCAGGCUAGAGUGCAGGAGAGGAAGGUAGAAUUCCCGGUGUAGCGGUGAAAUGCGUAGAGAUCGGGAGGAAUACCAGUGGCGAAGGCGGUCUUCUGGACUGACACUGACGCUGAGGUGCGAAAGCGUGGGUAGCAAACAGGAUUAGAUACCCUAGUAGUC
rnacentral:rRNA from 1 species